CCUACGGGCGGCAGCAGUGAGGAAUAUUGGUCAAUGGGCUUACGCCUGAACCAGCCAAGUCGCGUGAGGGAAGACUGUUCUAUGGGUUGUAAACCUCUUUUGUCAGGGAGCAAUUGGCGCUAUGUGUAGCGUAAUCCAGAGCACCUGAAGAAAAAGCAUCGGCUAACCUCGUGCCAGAAGCCGCGGUAAUACGGGGGAUGCGACCGUUAUCCGGAUUUAUUGGGGUAAAAGGGUGCGUAGGCGGAAUGCCAAGUCAGCGGUAAAAUCGCGGGGCUAAACCUUGUUCCGCCGUUGAAACUGGCGUUCUUGAGUGGGCGAGAGGUAUGCGGAAUGCGUGGUGUAGCGGUGAAAUGCAUAGAUAUCACGCAGAACUCCGAUUGCGAAGGCAGCAUGCCGGCGCCCAACUGACGCUGAAGCACGAAAGCGUGGGUAUCGAACAGGAUUAGAUACCCCUGUAGUC
rnacentral:rRNA from 1 species